GAUCCUGGCUCAGGAUGAACGCUAGCUACAGGCUUAACACAUGCAAGUCGAGGGGCAGCAUUUUAGUUUGCUUGCAAACUGAAGAUGGCGACCGGCGCACGGGUGAGUAACACGUAUCCAACCUGCCGAUAACUCCGGAAUAGCCUUUCGAAAGAAAGAUUAAUACCGGAUAGCAUACGAAUAUCGCAUGAUAUUUUUAUUAAAGAAUUUCGGUUAUCGAUGGGGAUGCGUUCCAUUAGUUNUUGG
rnacentral:rRNA from 1 species